rnacentral:lncRNA from 1 species
AUUAACAAAUCUGACGAAGUCCGUUUCCAAGCUUGAUGGUUUGAUUAGUCAUUUUAGAGAGAUCCAACACCACAUAGCCGAGAAACUAAUGGAAAACAAGAAACCAGCUAUCGUUGUAAAAAUGAUUUAUACUCCAAAUUCAACACAGAGAAAGCAUACAUCGUUUUCUUUUUCAUUCAAUAAAGGGUCUCAAAAAUAUAAUCCUACCAAACCAAUCUUUUGACACUCAGAAAUGGGGUCUGAUUUCUAAUUUUCAUAAUGAAACACGACAUACACCUACAAAAGUACCAAGAUCGAAGACAUAGUCCCAUCGAUUCCACCUCCAUCCCAACUCCAAAGCCCGAAGAAAAACAAAGAACGUGUCUUGAAUCGGGAGCUACUCUUCAAUAGAAAGGAAAGGGAAACGGGAAGAUCUGAUUUCUGUGGAAGAGAGUGGAAGUAAGGUUUCUUUCUUCGAAUGGAUGAUAGGUAAAAGUGAAUGAAAGGUAGAUAGAGUGAAUUGAUAUUUUACCUCAUUUAGAGCUGAUAACCACCUUGUGAACAAUAGAGAACCGGUUCCAAUCACUACGAGUGUGAAUACCUUGCCACCAAAAUGAACAGUAACUUACCAU